UACGUAGGGGGCGAGCGUUGUCCGGAAUCAUUGGGCGUAAAGAGCGUGUAGGUGGCUUGGAAAGUCUUACGUGAAAGCCUGCGGCUCAACCGCAGAAGUGCGUAGGAAACUUCCUCGCUAGAGUCCGGAAGAGGAGAGCGAGUACUCUGGUGUAGCGGUGAAAUGCGCAGAUAUCAGGAGGAACACCGGUGGCGAAGGCGGCUC
rnacentral:rRNA from 1 species